UACCGGGCCGCCCUCCCGUCACCUCCGCGCGGCUCUCCGGGUCAGGUCGCGAACGCUCUGCUCGCGCGGGAGGCGGCGCGGCUCCACGCUGCUGGGAGGGCCGCGCCGGUCACUUUCUGCAGCCUCCUCUCCGCCAGCUUCCUUCGCCUACCUUGGGUUGCUGUGCGGCUCUAGUCCCGGGCCGAAGCCGCCUGCCUCAGCGCCCGGAGGACAUGCGGGAGAGAGAAUGAGCCAGAGGGACACGCUGGUGCAUCUGUUUGCCGGAGGAUGUGGUGGUACCGUGGGAGCUAUUCUGACAUGUCCACUGGAAGUUGUAAAAACACGGCUGCAGUCAUCCUCUCUGACACUAUACAUCUCUGAAGUUCAGCUGAACACCAUGGCUGGAGCCAGUGUCAACCGAGUAGUGUCUCCUGGACCUCUCCACUGCCUAAAGGUGAUCUUGGAAAAAGAAGGGCCUCGUUCCUUGUUUAGAGGAUUAGGCCCCAAUUUAGUGGGGGUAGCUCCUUCCAGAGCAAUAUACUUCGCUGCUUAUUCAAACUGCAAGGAAAAGUUGAAUGGUAUAUUUGAUCCUGAUUCUACCCAGGUACACAUGAUUUCAGCAGCAAUGGCAGGCAUUUACUGUACAUUUCUCCCGAGAAAAGAGUGAGAUCGUGUCAUCUCAUGCUCCCCAUCCGCAGGUCACUCCUGUAGAAAUAUGGACUAACUUAAACCUCGUUUUACCGCAAUCACAGCAACCAACCCCAUUUGGCUUGUAAAGACUCGGUUACAGCUUGAUGCAAGGAACCGUGGGGAAAAGCGAAUGGGUGCUUUUGAAUGUGUUCGUAAAGUGUAUCAGGCAGAUGGACUCAGAGGAUUUUAUAGGGGCAUGUCUGCUUCAUACGCUGGCAUAUCAGAGACUGUUAUCCAUUUUGUUAUUUAUGAAAGUAUUAAGCAAAAACUACUGGAAUAUAAGAUUGCUUCUACAAUGGAAAGUGAUGAAGAGUCUGUAAAAGAUGCCUCAGAUUUUAUGGGAAUGAUGCUGGCUGCUGCCACCUCAAAAACUUGUGCCACAAGUAUAGCGUAUCCACACGAAGUUGUCAGGACAAGACUACGUGAAGAGGGAACAAAAUACAGAUCUUUCUUUCAGACGCUGUCUUUGGUUGUUCACGAAGAAGGCUAUGGGUCUCUUUACCGUGGUCUAACAACUCAUCUGGUGAGACAGAUCCCCAACACAGCCAUUAUGAUGGCCACCUACGAACUGGUGGUCUACCUACUCAAUGGAUAGCGACGCCUGGCCGCCACGCUGUGAGGAGGGAUGACCAGACGACGACAGUGGACCACGGAGGAGCAGGGCCAGCAUGGUGGGCAGCAGACAGCGGGUCUGGGGACGAGUGACUGGGCCUGCGUGGGUGUCUGGCUGUCGGAAUUAAAGCAAUCACAACCACGUUACUCGGUCUCUUCAGUCAUGCCAGUGAAGCCUGGGCUGCCUCCAAGAGAAGGCCUUUAGAAGCACUCCUUCCUCAGAAUUGCCAUUUUCUCUACCAGGUCCACGGGACACAGCUGCAUUUUGUUUAUUUGUGGCAGAGUAUAGCGUUUCUUCCAUGAAUACCUUCUCAGUCUCCUAAACAAAGCCAUCCUUACUUGUAUACUAUUUAUAAACUAUCCACAGAUAGUAUCAGCAGUCACAAAUUUCUAACUUUUGGAUUCUGCAUAAUUCUUACAAAAUAACAAAAAUAGUGAGAUCCUGAGUAGUAUUUUCACAUUUCCUUUAGAGGAUCUGGCCCAAUACUUUAAAGUUAAUUAUUUGGCAUUAGUAGUCACUGUUUUUGACAACUAAUGAAAUAGUGUCUAAAUAUCUUGUAUAUUUUUAUCUUUAAAAUGUUGAGGUUCCCACUGUUAACUAACAGUUGCUUGAUUUUUAGCAUAAUGUGGACACUUAAAUUGUUCAUUAAUAUAUCAAACUCAAAUGUAAGAGUUUGGGACAAUCAACCAGUAAAAUACUGAUUUUUCAACCAGUAAACUAUUGAUUUGAGACCAUUUCAGUAACUUGAGCAUAUCCUCAUGUCUUUUCUAACUCGACGAUAAGUGAAAGUCCGCACAUGUCUUCUCAGUGAGUUACAGGCUUUGAACGCCCGUGUCAUACCUAAGCAUCAUUUUCUUAAAGUGAAAGAAAUUUGCUACUUCUGAGUCUCAGUUUGCUUUCACAUUAAGAAUUUGAACCUUUGAAAUAUUAUCAGGUAGUCUGUAUAGAUCGCAUUUAUUGUAUAGAGAAAAUGGUAAUUUUCAGCUUUGCCCUUACAAGUUUGUUUUUUUUUUAAGGCGUCAAAUACCUGGGGCAGUAAUAGCAUUAUAGAAGAGGGCCCCCUGCUGUCUGAUUGGACAGGUAGUGAUCCUAAUUGACUUAUGGUUUUGUAAAUGAACAUACUGCUUUUGCAAAGAAGUUUAUCCUAAUUUCUUGAAUGGUAAAUCAUAGAUUGAGUUAAUUCAGAGCAAGUGUGCUGACAGGAUACAGCUUUCUUACAUUUUGUUGUUAAGGUCAACUGCACAUUUUAGUACUUUAAAUGUAUAACAUGUACGGCCCUUAUGAAGGUAGUGGCUGUAAUUCUAUUAGGAGACUUUAGCUUAUGGUUGUUGCUAUACUGGUGUAAGAAAAUGUCUGCAAUUAAACUCCAUGUGGUACUCAUUUCAGUAUACAUGAACUGUACGUUUUGUGCAAUGGCUUUAUCUUAAGAAUGACUCUUUGUGGAUGCACUUUGUGGCCUUUUGGGGGGCAGGUAGUCAGAAUAGGAGAGAAUUCCAUGUUAUUUUUUUAAACAUUGAUCAUGUAUUAGGCAGAAACAGUGUUCACAACAUUUUCCUGGGUUUUAGGAAUGUUGUUUUAGAGAUCUUUAACGUAAAUGUUUUAGGAAUUCUUUGUACACUGCAGUGACCUGACAUAGAAAAUUGCAGCAUGUCAUUGCAAGCUUUCUCUGCUGUCACCAGUGAAACUCAGUGCCCUCCCAAACUCUCCUGCCUUCUUAGCUUCCUUGUAAUCAACAGUAACUGGAUGUUUUUGAGGUGCUUUGAUUGGAAUGUAAAAUAUUCUAAUCUACUUGGAGACCAAAGGCAAAUUCAAUUUCACUACCUUUGGGAUUAUUCAUAACUUUUAUGGUAAAUUUCAGCUUUGACACUUAUUAUGAGGAACAUGCCAAAAAAAAUCAACAAAACAGGGGUUUCUAACUUAAAUCUGUAGAGAAAGUCUCCAUCUAUAGUGUUUGCCUUUUCAGUACAGUGCCACCCACUCAUACUGCCUAACAUGGUGCCAUUUGCCUUGUGAAGAUUCAUAAAUAUUUGUUGUGUUGAAUGUAAGACGGAGACGCCCUUAUCUUUAUGAUUGCAGUACCCCACAGAUGAUUAAGAACGACAUGGAAACCAGCAGUUAAGGAACAUCUUAUGUAGUUGUAGCAAAUUCAUGACAAGUGUCCUUCAAGGAUGAACAUGUAUUCUAUUCCUGUUGUAUUUAGCAAGUACAACUUACCGUGACCUUUACUGCCAUUAUAUUCAUCUUUUAAGAGUAAGUUUUAUGUAUGUCCUGGAAGGAAACAAUCCUGGAGUUUUAAAUUUUGAUUCUUUGUGCAGCAACUAGAAUGGAGCAAUGUCAUUUAUUUUAAUUGUCUUUUUUCCCCAAAGCACAAUCUGCUGUGGUUUACUUUAUGUAGGACAGAGAUGAUUUUUGAAAGAAAACUAUAAAAAUUAUUUCUAAAAUUUGUCUCUGAACAUUUCUUUAGAGAUCUUGUUUUUAGUUGAUGCAGAUGUUUAAAAAGAAAAACAUUUAUACUUAAAGCAUUGGGCUUUAUAACAUUUUAUUUCUAACAUAGCAGUAGUCAGCAACCUUCAGAUGGGUGUGUAUUUUUAUUGUAGAAUCCUCUCAGAAAAUCAGACUGAACCUAAUCAGGUUAAAGUAGUAGAUACUGAAUGCUAGCACAUUCUCAUAGAACAGAAAGAACUGGUAUUUAUGGCUCAGAAAACAGAUUGCUAAAUUUUAAAGUCCAAAUCUGAGAAUUACCAACCCUGUGAUUGUGGGCUGCCAUACAGGGCUUUUAUUUAUUUACUUUUUUAACUGUAUUUUUUCCAUUACCAUUUAACCCCCUUAUUACUGCCCCGCCCUCUCCCUACAGGUGAUCACCACAUUGUUGUCAUGUCUGUGAGUCCCUUGUUUCCUUUUUGAUCGAUCCCUCCAGGAAAAAACUAACACCCAGGCCUUGUGUUAAUUUUUAUUCUGUAUGUAACUUUAUGGAACCAGCUUUACUGGAUGGGGCCCACAGGUCACUGAUUUGUAACUUUGAAACCAAGAAGAAUAUCAUUAGAUCAUUUAAUCCAAACUUUUGUGUCCUGAAAUCUAGUGCUCAUUGUAGGUUAGCAUUCAUAUAUUAGGACCAGCAGAGUUUGGGUUAAAAUGAGUAUUUAUUCUUACUGGAGCAUAAACAUGUCAGUAUUUUUAGAUUUGUGUUACAUCACUAAGAAUACUGAUUUGAACUUGAGGGAUUUGAACGCUAGAAGUCAGUCUACCCUUUACUCUUCCAUCAUGCCCGUCUUCUGUUUACAUGCGUCUGCCCAGGCAGUUAGUGCUAUGGGGGCUCCCUUCGGGUGGAUAAAUAGGACAGUUCAGCUUCCUCUUCCUCUGGUAUUGAUCAUGAUUUUAACAUUCCUAAGAAAAUAGAUAGAUCUGAAUGAUUUAAAUUGGAAGGAAUUUUAAUUAUAGAAAAAGUUUCAUGUACUAACUUUCUGCCUACUCAGAUCUCUUCUCUGUCAUGUCCUUAAUUUCCCGUUCAGCUACAUGCUGCUCUUCAUGCUACUCCUUUUAGAAACUGAAAAUUCUAGUUUCACUCAGUCUUUGUGUUAAUAAACAUUUUGAAUGUGUACCCCUGCAUAUGUGAACAAUUAAAUCUUGACCUUUCAGUCAUAGCUAAAUAAUCAACUUCAAGAGUUGAUAUCAUUUGACCAUUUGUAUGAGGGUUGUUAUUCUUGUAUUCUAUACGUGGCUGUAAAUUACUGUGCAUUUACUCUAUGUUAACUAGCUGGAUUUUAUUUGAAUUGUUAAAAUUUUAAAAAUUAAAAUAUGGUUAUGAAAA